AUGCCGUUCCUGGUGCCGCUGGUGCUGCGGGGCAUUCCGGCGAAUGCGUGGACUCGGCGCACGGCGGAGGUUCUUCUGCAUGGCCUGGGGGUGGUGGUCAAGGUCGGGGCAUCGACCGCGGAGCGGAGCGACAUGGCGGGGUUCCUGGUCUGGCUACGCACGGACGACCCAACUCGUGUCCCCUUCAGGCGGAUCCUUGCCGUCGAGGAGCCGAACAGGCGGAGCAGAGUUGCUGUGCAGGUGGAUGGUGGUUCUGAUGCCCUGUGGUACCCGAUUGGCAUUCGGCUGGUGGCUGAGCCGAUUCACCUUGGGCGGCAGGCCGGGACGCCAACGCCGCCGCCGUCGCCCCCUCCCCAGCCAUCUGCUGGCCACGGCGGCGGUGGCUCGCGCGCCGAUGACUUGGGCGGGCCUCCGCCGCCGCCGCCUUCGCCGCCUCGCCGGGCAGAUUCCUCGUCGGCGUCGGCCCCUUCGCCUGGCAGAAACCGGGCUGUUCAAACCCAGGGCGGCCAGCGGGCCAUUCAAACCCAGGCUGGUCAGCGUGAGCUGGCGGGAGAUGUCACGCCGCUAUCCGAGCGCAGGGAGGACCCUGAUCCUGUCGGUUGCCAGGGUACGUAA
rnacentral:rRNA from 1 species